GAAUAAUAGAAAGAACAGGGUGUCACUCAGAUUUUUCUGUCACCACUUUCUCUCAGGGUUGGGACAGUACCACUGCUACCGCACACCCGUGAAUCACUUAGAAACCAGGAGUCACAGAGCAGAGGGUGGAUUUCAUGCAUAACAGAAAGGUCUCCUGGAGGUCAACAAGCAUUCUUGCUGGAGAACCAAUCCUGGGAGAGGGGCUUCUUGACCAAGUGUCUGGUCCAUGCUGAAGGGGUACAGUGAGGAAAAGUGAGCUGAGCACCACAGUGGAACCACAGCAACCAGUAAGUGGCAUAACCCCUUGGCAAUGCUCCCUGUCAGUUUCUCUACUACCUGGGCACAGGUGGGUACAAUGGAUGUAGGCCCUUGAGUUACAAGGAACCAUGACCCAUGAUGGCUGGGUCAUGUAAAGAGAGGGGCCAGGGUUAUUGCAAGAAACGACGGGGAAUGAAAGAGCAGUUCUCCUGUAAGAAACCACAGUAUGAUUAGUCCACACAGAGAUUAGAGCAGUAUAGCUCUUGGGACCUUGGCACUUGGGGGUGGUGGAUCUUUACGGUCUGCUAUUAAGCGACUUGGCCAACCCUUAGUUUCUGCUGCUGUCUAUAUGUAUACUUUAGCUUCUUCUCCUACCACCCGUGACUGAAUACAACUCUUCUACAUUAUGUCUUCUGUUUAAUCCUAGUUUCUACCUCCUCACAAUUUUGCCUUGCUCUUAACUUUGCCUGGCUCAAGGCUACUAUGGCCUUACCCAGCGAACCUCAGCCCCCACGGCAAACAUCCUGAGUCUCUGUGUCUUCCCCAAUUCAAAGUCCUGUGAGUGAGGAUCUGAUUGGCCCAGUGGACGCCAUUUGAGAUCAGUUGUUUGAGCUCAGCUUUGUACAACAGGUCAUGUGAUAAGCCUGGAUAGGCAGCCUUUGAAACAGGUAUCAUCCAGUCAGAUAAGGACAGAAGUAAUAGGGACAUAUGUAGGGCUGCCAUUUCAGCAGGGGCUAUGGGUAGAACAGUACCUCUU
rnacentral:lncRNA from 1 species